CCGACGCGGGGCUCGAACUCACGGACCGCGAGAUCAUGACCUGCGCUGAAGUCGGGGUGCUUAACCCACGGAGCCACCCAGGCGCCCCAUGGGUGCUUUAUAGGAGUGGUUCUGUGGGUGUGAUGGUGAGAAGUCAGACCGCAACGUUCAAGGAAUGAAUUAGAGAUGGGAAAACCGAGGCACAAAGAGGCUGAGCAAACUGCCUACUGACACACAGCCAACAGAGGAGCGGCUCUGCUUUGUUCCCCCAGGCGUCCAAAGUAGAAGGACGCGUUCCAGGAGGUGGUGGAGCUUGCGACUGACCAAAGUCAAAAGUUCGCGGUGUUCCGAGAAUUCAAACAGGAGAGGUAAAUACGCCCUGCUUCCUCAAUAUCCUCUCGACUCCCUCCCGACUCUAUUUUGGGUGACUCUCCAAGCCAUGCUUACUCCAUUCAGAAUCUCCUUUCACAGCCAUAACCAUUAAGAAGUCCAUGAGGAAAAAAUCUCUUCUGAUGGGGAAGCCUCAGGGGAAAGGGCCAGCGACAGCCAGACUCUGACCUGGGACCCAAAGAGCCCAUAAUGGAUGAGACCCGACAGCGGUCUGAGUCUUGAGCCAAGGCUGCGUGUCGUGUUCUUAGAAGGUUCUGAACUGAUGCUGAGGCGGUAAAGAGGAAAUGGAGAAGUCAAGAGAUGCGGAGAAGAUCGGGUUGACCAGAUGGCUGUGGAGAAAGAAGGAGAAGGACGGUGCCCUAACAUCUGGCUUGGCGUUGGGCUGGCGCACAGUGGGAGUAGCAGUGUCCUUGAUUUGCUAUUUUUGAAAUCCAAAGCAAAAGGGUCCCUUCUGGAAUUGAUAACUCCCAACCACCGGGUUCCAGUCUCUCCGCCUUGAAAGGAAUUCUCCUUACGUGACCCUGGUUAUACAACUGGUGUGGGAUAGACACCCCACCAAAGUGUUCCUGGAAGGCCUCCCCGUAAUGAAAGUCAUUUCUACUCUGACCCCACAGCGUCUUGGGCUUUACUUCUCGUCUUCCCCAACCACACGUCGGGGUGGGAACCAUCUGACUCCAACUCCAUUCUUGCCUUUGGCUGUGCUACGUCUUUCUUUCCGCGUAACAAGCUCCCAGUCACAUUUCAAGAGCCUGCUUACUUUCUGAACCCUACAGAAACCUUUCUGCCCCAUCUCAGGCAGAAUUAUUUACUCUUUUCUCUGCCAUCUUCUUAGAUUUUGCAAAGGUCUCCUCUGCUAAUCAAAGGGGAAGAAUUCUUUACUUUUCAUCUCAAUAUUUGCUGAGUUUUUAUAAAUAAGCACUCGGUAAAUAUUGAAGACAUAAGCAAACAAAUGAAUGUCUGAAAUGCGUAAAUUAGUCCUUGUCUUCAAUGGCUUAUUUUGCUACUUAGAAACAGCAAAGGGUUAGUAGAGCCAUGAAAUGAAGGCUUCUAGCACUUGGCUAUUUGUCUGGAAGGCCUCGGUCACCACUUGCCAGCUGUCAGGGGAAAUCACAUCACCUUUGAACCUGAGUGUGUUUCCUCCGCUGUAAAUCUGGGUGGAUGACACCCAACCAGGGGUGACAUCGUUGUGAAGGUUCAGCUGGUAAGCGUGUGCAGGGUGCAUGGCGCCAUGCAUCAAUACUGGGUAUCUGUCAGGAAGUGGUAGAUGGUGGCGGUGGUGACAGGGAGAUAGUUGCAUGAUUUUCUUCUGUGAAGGGGUUCUCUCUUAAAAGAAUGGUUAUCGUAGGUUGAAACCUAUCCCUCAAAGAUAUACGUUGAGGCCCUAACCCCUCAAAUGUGUGAUUGUGACCUUAUUUGGAAACAGGGUCUUACAGAUAUUGUCAAAUUAAGAUGAGGUUAUCCUCCACUAUGGUGGGCCCUAAUCCAAUAAUUGCUGUCCUUGUAAGGAAAGUGGAUUUUGUUUCUUUUGUUUUGUUUCUUCAGCUUUAUUGAGGUGUA